rnacentral:rRNA from 1 species
GACGAACGCUGGCGGCGUGUCUUACACAUGCAAGUCGUGCGGCAAAGCGGGGCAACCCGCCCUAGAACGGCGGACUGGUGAGUAACACGUGGGUGAUCUGCCCUUGGGAUGGGGAUAACCUCUAGAAAUAGAGGGUAAUACCGACUACUUACGGCAUACUACCGUAUGUCGAGGAACAAUGCUUCAGUGCUGCUCGAGGAUGAACCCGCGUCACGUUAUCUACGCCGUGUGGUAUAGGUCCACCAAAGUGAUCAUGAGAAGCCGGUCUGAUAAGCUGUACUGACACGUUGGGACUGAGGUAUGGGCCAGACACCUGGGGCAGAGCUGCACGAGGAGUAUACGUCCAGAACUGCGAGCUUUGGGGGACGCAUCGUAAUGGAUAGCUGUUGGUCCACCGUUAUUAGCUGGCUUUCUUUUUGCGGAUGAAUAUGCGUGGGAACGAUAUGCCCGCGCCGCUGUUUUCGCUUCGUACGUUUCCAGCACCAAUUUAUACACUGCUCUCGCUUGAUUAUUUGCGCUUUAAAUUUCUCCUGUUAGUCUCUGAAUGUGUUCCGCACUCCAAUUCUUAAGCCCCCUCGGGCCGCACUUGUGCUACUCUCCCCCAAGCCUUGGCGCACGUCUUAUUGUAGAGUAUGUGAGGAGAGGCUCACAGGCAAACGCUCUUUACGCCUGCUGCAAUAUAUUGCUGAGCUGAACACUAAGGUGUUCGCAUCGCAGCUCAUAUCUCACCCGGCAAAUUCUGUUGGUGGUGUUACAAACACCCGGGGCGGAUAUUUUGGAUGAAGUUAUCAAUUAUUUUCCGCGCCCUCAGAAUUGGCACGCUUUUGAACGUAUCUGACUUGUGCGGGCUUUUGACACACCUGGUUAUGUACACUAGAUAACCGCGAUUUCUUAUUUCGCACGCCGUGUAGUUCACUGAAGGCGCUACCUGGUGCCAGACCUGUCUACCUCCCAUGUGCGCUUAGUACCCUGCCCGCCUCG